AGUGGACGCUGGCGGUAGGCCUAACACAUGCAAGUCGAACGGCAGCACAGUAAGAGCUUGCUCUUACGGGUGGCGAGUGGCGGACGGGUGAGGAAUACAUCGGAAUCUACUUUUUCGUGGGGGAUAACGUAGGGAAACUUACGCUAAUACCGCAUACGACCUACGGGUGAAAGCAGGGGAUCUUCGGACCUUGCGCGAUUGAAUGAGCCGAUGUCGGAUUAGCUAGUUGGCGGGGUAAAGGCCCACCAAGGCGACGAUCCGUAGCUGGUCUGAGAGGAUGAUCAGCCACACUGGAACUGGGACACGGUCCAGACUCCUACGGGAGGCAGCAGUGGGGAAUAUUGGACAAUGGGCGCAAGCCUGAUCCAGCCAUACCGCGUGGGUGAAGAAGGCCUUCGGGUUGUAAAGCCCUUUUGUUGGGAAAGAAAAGCAGCAGGUUAAUACCCCGCUGUUCUGACGGUACCCAAAGAAUAAGCACCGGCUAACUUCGUG
rnacentral:rRNA from 1 species